rnacentral:rRNA from 1 species
CCUACGGGAGGCAGCAGUGGGGGAUAUUGCACAAUGGGGGGAACCCUGAUGCAGCGACGCCGCGUGGGUGAAGAAGCGCCUCGGCGCGUAAAGCCCUGUCAGCAGGGAAGAAAAUGACGGUACCUGACGAAGAAGCCCCGGCUAACUACGGGCCAGCAGCCGCGGUAAUACGGAGGGGGCAAGCGUUAUCCGGAUUUACUGGGUGUAAAGGGGGCGGAGACGGCGAUGCAAGCCAGGAGUGAAAGCCCGGGGCCCAACCCCGGGACUGCUCUUGAAACUGCGUGGCUGGAGUGCAGGAGGGGAAGGCGGAAUUCCUGGUGUAGCGGUGAAAUGCGUAGAUAUCAGGAGGAACACCGGUGGCGAAGGCGGCCUGCUGGACUGCAACUGACGUUGAGGCCCGAAAGCGUGGGGAGCAAACAGGAUUAGAUACCCGAGUAGUC